GAUACGUCGCGUUCGAUCAGAACGCCUGCCUAACUUCAAGCGCGAGGGCAUUUACGACGCCGAGUGAACUCGCACGAGACUAGCCGAGGGUAUCUCGGGCCAGUCGCCAUUUUGUUGGGUAGUCAUCGGGAUCGUCGUGUUACUCUCACCUCGGGAUUCGUCGUCAUUUCGUUCGGACGGACGGUGAAACACCGUGGGACUCGGGGCGCAGCUCUCCUACUACACGCCAUCCCGCAAAUGGCUUGUCUGAACACCCUCAAGCAGGAAAUCAAAACGCUCGAAUCUGUCUUCCCCAAGAGCCAUGAGAGGUUUCAGAUAAUGUCCGCGAGCGUGGACGAACUCAGUUGCAGGUUCGUCGGUAAAAAUGGGAAGAAGUAUGAAAUACACGCCAAUAUCACAGAAACCUAUCCUUCUACGCCACCAGUUUGGUUUGCCGAGUCUGAGGAAACCAGUGUUACGAACGCUGUACAAAUUUUAAGUAACACAACAGGCCGUGACAACCAUGUAAUCAACCAAGUGGGAAUCCUCCUGAAAGAACUAUGCAGACUACAUUCGUUACCAGAACCACCAGACGUCGAAAGACUCAGAACGGCCCUGGAUCCUUUACGUUUAGGAGGACCAAACGAAGCCGUAGCACAGAGAAUGGACGCCGAGGACGUUGACGACUUCGACGAGGACGAAGAGAGCGAGACUGAAGAAGACCUUCACUUGGACAUGGACGAGGGAGAUGCCAACGCUAAGAGUAAGGGUGAAGAAAUGGAUUUGGAACAUCUCGCGACGUUGGAAAGGUUGAGACAGAAUCAGAGACAAGACUAUUUAAAAGGAUCUGUUUGUGGAAGCGUACAAGCCACCGAUAGACUCAUGAAGGAACUACGUGAUAUUUAUCGAAGUGACAGCUUUAAAAAAGGAAUGUAUAGUAUAGAACUAGUAAAUGACAGUUUAUACGAAUGGAAUAUCAGGUUGAUGUGCGUAGAUCCUGAUUCACCACUUCAUAGCGAUCUCAUUCUUCUAAAAGAGAAAGAGGGCAAAGACAGUAUUCUUCUCAACAUGCUUUUUAAGGAAACUUAUCCAUUCGAACCUCCAUUCGUAAGAGUUGUACAUCCCAUCAUUUCCGGUGGGUAUGUUCUUGUGGGAGGCGCGAUUUGUAUGGAACUCCUCACGAAACAAGGAUGGAGUUCGGCGUAUACAGUGGAAGCUGUUAUAAUGCAGAUUUCAGCGACGCUAGUGAAGGGCAAAGCGCGUAUACAAUUCCAAGGAUCAGGUGGUGCUGGCAAAGUGUGCGGUGGACAAGGCCAAUAUAGUUUGGCACGUGCCCAACAGUCAUUCAAGUCUCUUGUACAAAUACAUGAAAAGAAUGGUUGGUUUACGCCCCCUAAGGAGGAUGGCUAAUGAACAGCGGUUACCCAAUCGUACCGAGAAAUAUGACACGUGCUUACAGACGAGACUUUAAUUCGGGAGAGCACCCGGUUCACGCGGAACAUAAACGAGUGAACGAGGCUUGAUGGGAGUGAGGAGUAUAUUUGGAAAUUAUAAGAGGAACAUUAAAGAGAAAGAGAUCCACACAUGUACCUGGUUGCCGAUCCAUAUUCUAAUCUCUUGGUAGUCAGUAACAGUCUUCGUUUCGCUUGAACCGUGGUACCCGAUUGUAUCCGUUUGGUACUACUCGGGUUGUAAAACUUUGUGUAUCAUGUUAAGUAUACUGCUAUGACUUAACUCUCUCAUAUUGUAACAUUCUCUGACGAGGGUCUAGACUUUCGGAUCGAAGCAGCGUGUGUGUGCGUGUGUGUGUGUGUGUAUGUGUGUGUGUGUAUGUCGUACGCGUCGAGAGAAGUCGCGAUUGAUAUCUCUCUUGUUUUCGGAUUUGUGCCGCGCAUCAAACGAAAAUCGUCCCUCGUGUCCCGUUUUUCUCUUCGCGCACACGUGUUCUCUCUCUC
rnacentral:misc_RNA from 1 species